rnacentral:ncRNA from 1 species
GAAGGGUGCCGCAUUUGGGAUGCGGUUAAGAGGAAACCGUGUGUGAAUCACUGGCUGUCGCGCAACUGUAUGUUCGCAAAGUUUUUGUGCAGAAAGUCAUUGGGUAUAUGAACCUGAGAAGGCGCACAAGAGGGGACGAGCCAGGAAGCCUGCCUUUUCG